CUGGUUGAUCCUGCCAGUAGCAUAUGCUUUCCUCCUGGAGAUUAAGCCAUGCAAGUCUAAGUAUAAGUUAUAUACGGCGAAACUGCGAACGGCUCAUUAAAACAGUUAUAAUUUAUUUGAUAAUGUUUUUAUAUGGAUAACCAUAUUGGGAAACUAUGGCUAAUACAUGCUUAAAGACCUCCGGGUUGUAUUUAUUAGUUUUGACCGAUCUCUGAUCGUGAUGAGUCAUAAUAACUGAUCGAAGCGCAUUUGUAUGUGCUAAAUCUUUCAAGUUUCUGCCCUAUCUGAUUGUUGGUAGUGUAUUGGACUACCAUGUCGAUCACGGGUAACGGAGAAUUAGGGUUCGAUUCCGGAGAGGGAGCCUGAGAAACGGCUACACAGCUACGGUAGGCAGCAGGUGCGUAAAUUACCCAAUCCAAAAUCUGGAAGGUAGUUACAGGAAAUUUGUAGCAUAGGCUUCUAGCCUAGACACAAACGAACACAUGUAAGUAUUGUGUGUUUAAUUGGAGGGCAAGUUUUGGUGCCAGCAGCCGCGGUAAUUCCAACUCCAAGAGUGUAUCUUAAUGUUGCUGCAGUUAAAAAGCUCGUAGUUGAACCUCUGGCUGUUGAUGAAACUUAUGUGAAUUCGGCAGUCAUCCGCUUGGAGAAGUAGUAUUUCCGUCAAAAGUUUUACUACAGACCCAGCAUUUUACUUUGAAGAAAUUAGAGUGUUCCUGGCAGGCUUAGCUUGCAUAUAUUAGCACGGAAUAAUGGAGUGGGACCUUUUCUGUUUUAUUGGUUAACGAAUAGGUAAUGAUUAACAGGGACAGUCGGGGGCAUUCGUACUCAGUGGCUAGAGGUGAAAUUCUUAGAUUCGCUGAAGACGAACUAAUGCGAAAGCAUUUGCCAAGGAUGUUUUCAUUAAUCAAGAACGAAAGUUAGGGGAUCAAAGACGAUUAGAUACCGUCGUAGUCCUAGCCAUAAGCUAUACCGACUAGGGAUUGGUGUGGGUCAUAAUCCAUAUCAGCACCUAAUGAGAAAUCAAAGUCUUUGGGUUCUGGGGGGAGUAUGGUCGCAAGGCUGAAACUUAAAGGAAUUGACGGAAAGGCACCACCAGGAGUGGAGCCUGCGGCUUAAUUUGAUUCAACACGGGGAAACUUACCAGGGCAAGACCUUAGAAGGAUUGACAGAUUGAUAGCUUUUUCUUGAUUUGAGGGAUGGUGGUGCAUGGCCGUUCUUAGUUCGUGGAGUGAUUUGUCUGGUUAAUUCCCUUAACGAACGAGACCUUAACCUGCUACCUAGACGCGGUUAUCUUUUAGCCGUUGUGCUUCUUAGAGGGACUAUGUGUCG
rnacentral:rRNA from 1 species